UACGAACUGUUCGAACGUUAUUCGGAAUCACUGGGCUUACAGGGUGCGUAGGCGGCUUGUUAAGUCGGGUGUGAAAGCCCCCGGCUCAACCGGGGAAUUGCGCCCUAAACUGGCGAGCUGGAGUGAGAUAGGGGUGUGUGGAACUUCCGGUGGAGCGGUGAAAUGUGUUGAUAUCGGAAGGAACGCCGGUGGCGAAAGCGACACACUGGAUCUUGUCUGACGCUGAGGCACGAAAGCCAGGGGAGCGAACGGG
rnacentral:rRNA from 1 species